AUCCCAGGACCCUGGGAUCAUGACCUGAGCCGAAGGCAGAGGCUUUAACCCACUGAGCCACCCAGGCACCCCAAUGCCCUAGUUUUCAAAACCAGUACACACAAGUGAACACGGCCUGGACACCAGACGCAGGGAUCAACUAGGACGUUGCCACACAGUCCUGGCCUUCAGUCCUGAGGGCCUGGGCCAGGGCACGAGCCUCGGAGACAGAUUAAAUUAAAAGGUUGUAGCGAAGAGAGAAGGUAAAAGAUCCGGGCUUCAGGACUAGAAGUAAAAUAACGUUCAAACCGCACCCAGCUCCAGAUCUAGCGAGUCCCUACGUCCCGCGAACCGCGAAACGCUGUUCUGGGAGCCCCAGGGUCCCAGCUCCGCGAAGGGUAGGGCUAACUCGUGGGGCGGGUAAGAUUAAGGUGGGGGAAGGGUGGAGAACUGUCGGGACUAUAUUUCCCACCAUGCUGUGGACGGGGCAGUUUUACGCAUGCGCAGAGGCCGUGGCAAGCCUGCGAUGUGCCUGACGGGGGCGCUCCGGCUUUGGUCCGGAGAUGGGCAGAGUGGAUGUAAGGGGGAGUGUUAAGUCCUGCGAUGGUGGUGUUUGAGGUCUCGGCUGCAGUUUUCGGCUCGUCCCAGUGGGUUGGCGGGACCCCAAGCCCCUUCUCUUACAGAGCCUGUCUUUCACGUCCCCCAGGCCGCGGAACUGAGCGGUCUGCAGACUAGCAAUCCUCAGAACCCCACAUCCCGCUGCCAGUGGUUCCCCGCAUCCGGUGCCGGCCCCCAAAGCCGCCUUCCCUCCCACACAGCCUCAGCUGCCUGUUGCUACCGCGACCGGCGCCUCUGCUGGGGGAGGCCCAAGUUGAGGUCCACGGAGGCGGAUCUGACGUUUGGAUUAUUCUCUCUGUGUGUGUAGAGGGUCUGCCUUAUUGGGACCACCAGGUAAGGCUCAGGAGCACAGUUCCCUACUCUGGUUUUCUCUGGGACUGUGAGUGGGAAGGAGAGAUGUUUGGAAGUAGAAGCCUGGCUUCCACUAUCUUCUGGCCCUGAAACCUCAGAAAGGUCUAUUAAGCCAGACUUACCUCUACAGAAGCCGGAGGGUGAAGUGGUGUAGACUUGAGGUUGUGGCUGGUGGCAGCACAGUCAUAGAGGCCACGGGGAGAGUGGGUCAGGAGCUGGGGAGCUUGCAACACCAGGUGAUGGGAGUGGGGUGGCUCUGAGUGCAAAUUCUAACAAUGAUCUAGCAGCAAGUACAGCUUGAGCUGGGCUCCAGCCUCCACCACUAGCACUCACCCUGGCAGUGUUGAUGCCACUGAUGCUCUUGGUCCAGCAAGGCGCCCCCAGAAGUGCUCUGUACAGAGAGCAAAGCUCACAACCCUACCAUGUAGCGCCUGUUGCAGGUCUGAAGCCUCUAGAUAAAAAUCUAAACACUUUCUGAGAAGUUUUAUUUGAAAACUUGGGGACAUAACAGAGACAGCAGGAUGUGGGCUGGUAUUCUCCAGCCAGGGUUCUCAGAUAAGAAGCCAGGCUUGGGUUCCUCAGGUCGCUAGGUUCCAGGAUCCCUCCAGACUAUGGGGUCCCAAGGAGAAUACCCACCCUUCUCCUCUCAGGCGGUUACCCCCUCCACCACUGCCCAUUUCCGGUAUCUGAGGGGACACCGAACUAUAGACUUUAAGGGAGCCGGAACAGAGAGGAUCUGGUUAAAAUCCACAAGGAUGGGAAGUAAGUAACUCGGGAGCUUGGGGCCUUAGGGGAAUAGAUGGUUUCCUCCAUCCCCAAGAAACCAGGGACCUACUCGUUCCCCUGAAGUGUCUCCCUCACUUAGAGGGGAAGUUUAGGAAGCAUUACCUCCUGUGACCAGACAUUUCCUACCUGUCUUUGGGGGGUGGUUGGGAAACAGUCAUGGUGGGGCAGGGUAGCAGUAACCCCUGCAGCAGAGGAGGCUGGGGUGAUGAUCGUCCCACUCUGCCAGCUCCUCCGUCUCAGCUGGGUGCAGGCUGGCUGUUGGCAUAUGCCUGGUCUGGGAAGGAAGCCCGCGCCCUGCGGGUCUGGGCACACACUGAGGCGUACAGCUCCGGCUCAGGGCCUGAGGCCUGGGGCUUUGGCUCAGAAUCCAGCACCACCUCUGAGUACUUGAUGGGGGUUCCGGGGCUGGGGAGAUGGCCCUGAGAAGGCCGCAACUGCAGGCUGGUAUAGCACAUCACUUUCUCUGUAGCCUGGAAAUGCAAGGCUGUUAGAAGUUCACUGGACCCUUGGAAAAGCCCUCACUUCCUUCCCUCCCCCCUUCCUCAGCCACAACUGACUCACCGUGACAGGGUCUCUAGGAGCUGGAUCUUGCUGGUCUGACCCCUGUUCUUGAGACAGUCGACCUGGGAUAGGGAACAGUAGUAAUCUGGUCACUUCUUGUUCUUCCUCCUGCCAUCCCUCAUCCCACCCACCCAGGACGUGCAUGGCCUUGGUGCCCCUCCCCUUUGCCAGCUCCCUACCAGUCUGAAGAUAAGGCAGGUUCCCAUAUAGGGGGACCUCUUCCACAGAUCCUCCAGAGCUGCAAGACAGAGAUGAGGGGAUGAGGGGACAUCUGGGUAAGGGGGAAAUCUCAGUCACCUAUCUCUGUUGUCCCUACUCACCGUCCCUGUCCCGGAUGGCUUCUGUUCCGGCCACUAGUCCAUCGGAACAAGUGUGCAGCCAGUGAGAUGAGAAGCAGCAGCGUCACAGCCCCUAAGAGGGCCCACAAUCCCCAGGCCUGAGUCACAGUGGGGAUUCCUGUGGACGCCAGGGUAUGGGGGCUGUUACUGCCCAGCCCAGCCCAGCCCUCCAGGUCCCAGCAGGUGGGACAAGGGGCCAUGUGACCCCUCCCCCUCCCCCUGCCCCGCCCAGCUCACCGGGCACUAGCAGUUCUGUGACUUCUGUGCGGUUGGCACCUCUGCUCAUGACUGCUGACCUGGGAGCUGAGUCUGCAAACCCUGUGCUGAGGGGUCAGCUUGGCUUAUGGCCUGAUUGCUGCUGCAGGCCCCUUUACUCUCGGCCCUCCCCAGGCUUGGCCCCCACAGUUCAUCCCCAAUACUGCUGGUGGCAGAGUCACUGGUUUCCGGGGAGGAAGGGGGAGGGGAGGGAUCAGCGAAAGAACAAAGACACCGCCCUGUGCCUGCACCUGCGCCACCCAGCAUCUCCCAAGCUUCCGCCCCCACCCCUCGAGGCCCUAUACCUUCUUUGGCCAGAGAAGAGAAGCAGGCCUGCGAUUUCUGUGCCACUGUGCAGGAAGUGGAGCACAUGUGAUGCUCAAUACUACCCAACCACAUGGGCUGCUACUGAUGCAGAAGAAGGAUUUCAGGUUCCUUAGGC